rnacentral:rRNA from 1 species
UGCAAGUCGAGCGAACGGACGAGAAGCUUGCUUCUCUGAUGUUAGCGGCGGACGGGUGAGUAACACGUGGAUAACCUACCUAUAAGACUGGGAUAACUUCGGGAAACCGGAGCUAAUACCGGAUAAUAUUUUGAACCGCAUGGUUCAAAAGUGAAAGACGGUCUUGCUGUCACUUAUAGAUGGAUCCGCGCUGCAUUAGCUAGUUGGUAAGGUAACGGCUUACCAAGGCAACGAUGCAUAGCCGACCUGAGAGGGUGAUCGGCCACACUGGAACUGAGACACGGUCCAGACUCCUACGGGAGGCAGCAGUAGGGAAUCUUCCGCAAUGGGCGAAAGCCUGACGGAGCAACGCCGCGUGAGUGAUGAAGGUCUUCGGAUCGUAAAACUCUGUUAUUAGGGAAGAACAUAUGUGUAAGUAACUGUGCACAUCUUGACGGUACCUAAUCAGAAAGCCAUGGCUAACUACGUGCCAGCAGCCGCGGUAAUACGUAGGUGGCAAGCGUUAUCCGGAAUUAUUGGGCGUAAAGCGCGCGUAGGCGGUUUUUUAAGUCUGAUGUGA